GAUGAACGCUGGCGGCGUGCUUAACACAUGCAAGUCGAACGGUGAACGAGGGAGCUUGCUCCCUCCGGAUCAGUGGCGAACGGGUGAGUAACACGUGAGCAAUCUGCCCCGAACUCUGGGAUAAGCGCUGGAAACGGCGUCUAAUACCGGAUACGACGCGCGAAGGCAUCUUCUGCGCGUGGAAAGAAUUUCGGUUCGGGAUGAGCUCGCGGCCUAUCAGCUAGUUGGUGAGGUAACGGCUCACCAAGGCGACGACGGGUAGCCGGCCUGAGAGGGUGACCGGCCACACUGGGACUGAGACACGGCCCAGACUCCUACGGGAGGCAGCAGUGGGGAAUAUUGCACAAUGGGCGCAAGCCUGAUGCAGCAACGCCGCGUGAGGGACGACGGCCUUCGGGUUGUAAACCUCUUUUAGCAGGGAAGAAGCGAAAGUGACGGUACCUGCAGAAAAAGCACCGGCUAACUUCGUGCCAGCAGCCGCAGUAACAC
rnacentral:rRNA from 1 species